rnacentral:rRNA from 1 species
GACGAACGCUGGCGGCGUGCUUAACACAUGCAAGUCGAACGGAAAGGCCCUGCUUUUGUGGGGUGCUCGAGUGGCGAAGGGGUGAGUGAAACGUGAGUAACCCGCCCUUGACUGUGGGAUAAAUUCAGGAAACUGGGGCGAAUACCGGAUAGGAUCUCCUGCUGCAUGUGGGGGGUUGGAAAGUUUCGGCUGUGGUGGAUGGAAUCGCGGCUUAUGAGCUUGUUGGUGGGGUAGUGGCUUACCAAGGCUUUGACGGGUAGCCGGCCUGAGAGGGUGACCGGCCACAAUGGGACUGAGAUACGGCCCAGACUCCUACGGACGGCAGCAGUGGAGAAUAUUGCACAAUGGGCGGAAGCCUGAUGCAGCGACGCCGCGUGCGGGAUGCCGUCCUUCGGGUUGUAAACCGCUUUCGCCUGUGACGAAGCGUGAGUGACGGUAAUGGGUCAAGAAGCCCCGGCUAACUACGUG